AUACGGAGGGGGCUAGCGUUGUUCGGAUUUACUGGGCGUAAAGCGCGCGUAGGCGGCUUGCCAAGUUGGAGGUGAAAGCCCAGGGCUCAACCCUGGAACUGCCUUCAAAACUGGCUCGCUUGAGACCGGGAGAGGUGAGUGGAAUUCCCAGUGUAGAGGUGAAAUUCGUAGAUAUUGGGAAGAACACCAGUGGCGAAGGCGGCUCACUGGACCGGUACUGACGCUGAGGUGCGAAAGCGUGGGGAGCAAACAGGAUUAGAAACCCCGGUAGUCC
rnacentral:rRNA from 1 species